GAGAGAGAGAGAGGUGUAUAUGCCACCAUGGCACCAUGUAGGUGCCACUAUUUCAAUUUCUGUUAAGUUGUUGGUUCUAUACUAUUUUGUUUUUUAAUUACGACUAAAUAUUAAAUUUUAUAAAACAGAAUCAUAAGUAUAUCUAGCUUAUGUUAGUAUAAUUAAUAGAAUAACUAUUUAUUUUUUAGAAUACAUCCAACUUGAUUUUGAUACUUUUGAGUAAUAUCUUUUAGGAUUUAAUUUUUAUUUAGAAUAUUAUUUAUAUCAGCAUUCAUAUUAUAUACUAGAUCUUCUUUUUUCCUUCUAACAUUAUCUUUGUUAUGCUUGGCUACUCAAAUCAUACUAUAAUAGCCUUAUACAUGAGGUACCAACCCCCCUUCUAGAACCUGACCAAUUUCAUUUAAAUGUUAUUUAGAAUAUUUGGUAAAAGUCACCUAUAAAACAGUCUGUACUGCUUUUUUAUUAGUAGAUAAGUUUUAAUUUAUUUAAAUUUUUAGUAGCUAAGUCUUAAUUGAUUUUUAUCACUUAGUUGUAUUAAGAUUUAUUUUAAAAUUAUGUAUAUACACAUUAUCCCGUGUAGGUAUGCUCAUGUGAGUACAGGUGCCCAAGAAGGCCUAAAGAGAUUGGCUCUGGACUCCCCUGAAGCUGUGGUUGCAAGCCAUUUUAAGCUGUCCACUGUAGGUGCUGGAAGUCAAACUGUUCCUGAAAGAGUAAAAGCUCUUAACCACUGAGACAUUUCUCUAGGCCUCAAUGUUUGUUUUGUAACGGUCAUAGCAAAAAUAAUGUUCAUUACAGUGUUCAUUACUAAACACUGGAUAGUCAGAGUUGAUGAGUGAAGCAGGGUCUCUGGAUGACACUACUGUACGGGGCUUCAGAUACUAGGUCAUGGGAUGAUCCAGAGGAAGAAGAGUGGGUACCAGAAGGUACAGAGUAAGAUUUAGAGCAUGAAUAUUUGUUAAUUAGUAUGGCAGAAGUUCACUAUGUGUGUGUGUGCUGUGGGAUCAAACCUAGAACCCAGUAUAGCGAUGUAUCUGAGGCGCAAGGAAGGUCAAUUUUCUAACACAGCAGCUUUUGUUGAGCUAGGACAUGUUGAUCAAAUAUCAGACUUGGUAAGAGGUCAAUUUUCAUUCGUCCGUUUUACUGAGGUGCUGGAUUUUUGUUGUUGUUGUUAUUGUUGGAGCUUGUUUGUUUGCUUGUGUUUAUUUGAUUUAGACGGAGUCUCACCAUGUUGUCCAGGCUGGCCUAGAAUACUCUGUAAUCCUCCUGUUUCAAUCUUCCAAAUGCUAGGACUACAGGAGAAUGUGCCAUAGACCUAGCUUCUAAUGUAUAUCGAAUGAGAUGUCUAUUUCAUCAAAGUUUUAAGUAUAUUGGUAUAAAUGUGUUGUUGCUGACAUUUUUUAGCUUUUAAAUUAUAUUUAUUUUAUAUGUAUGUAAUGUGUGGGUAUAUGUGCACAUGUAGAGGUUAGAGGACAACUUUCAGAGGUAAAUUCUUACUUUCUAUAAUGUGAGCCUGGGGGUGCUCUGGUGGUAAGAGACUCCCCCAGGUUGUCAGGUUUGGUGGGAAGAGCCUUUAUUUACUGAGCCAUUUCACUGGCCACAGUGCUGCUCUGUUGAGAUACAGUCCCACUAUGUAGUUGACCUGGCCCUGAAUCUAUAGUCUUCCUAUCUCAGGCUCAGUGCUGGGAUAGCAGGUACAUAUCACUACAUCUGACUCAUUCUUUAAUCAUAUCUCCCUUUUCAUUGCUAGGACUGUCUUUUUUCCUUUCUUUGAUAAAUCUUACCCCCUCCUCUGUUUGAUUAGCUUUUUCAAAGAAUAGACUUGUAAAAAUCUUACUAUACUUUUGUUUUGUUUUUAAGACAGGCUCUCACUACGUAGCUCUGGCUGUCCUGGAACUCAAUAUAUAGACUAGGCUGGCCUUGAACUCACAGAGCUCCAUCUGCCUCUGCCUCCCAAUUGCUGAGAUAAAAGUUGUGUAUUAUGCCUGUCUGUAUCAUCAUUGUCUUCCUCCUCCUCCUCUUCCUUUUUAAUGUGCAGAGGUGUGUUGCCUUCAGGUAUGUCUGAGAGUGUCAGAUUCCCUUGAGUUGGAGUUAGGCAGUUGUGAGCUGACAUGUGGGUGCUGGGAAUUGAACCCUGGUCCUCUGGAAGAGCAGCCAGUGCUCUUAACCACUGAGUUAUCUCUCUAGCUCUGUAUUUUCAAUACUGAUUUUGUAUUUCUAUUUUUUAUUAUUUCCAUACAUCUUUUGCUGAGUUUCUCCACUACUUCCUUCAAUUUCUCUGAAUAAAUUCCUAAACUUUCAGUCUUAUAAUUUCCCUACAUCUGGGACUGCCUCUCCCUUUCUCCCUCCUGGAUGGAAUCUCAUUAUAUGUAGACAGUCCAGCAUCAGUCUCAUCCUCCCCCUGCCCCAACUUCUCAAAUGCUUGAAUUACAAUGCUAAGCUAAAUGUGGAAACUUCUAAUAACUGUGCCAACUCAACUGGACUGAGUUCAGAGAAAAUGGUUUGUGUGAUAGCAUUUCUUACCUACUGUGCUGUUUAAUACAAGCUGUUGUUGUUUUCAUUGGUUCUAGGUCUGUUUGAAGGGAUAUAUACACAUACACAUACACACUGUUUGGAGGAGCAGAAUUAUUAUUAAAAAAGUAAUACUAUUAAAUCUUCCAAAGCACCUUACUCAAUUUUAAAGUCCUUAAAAAAAAAA
rnacentral:sRNA from 1 species